UAAUAGCUCACUGGUCGAGUGAUCCUGCGCCGAAGAUUUCCGGGGCUAAAACUUACUACCGAAGCUACGGCAUCAGUAAUGAUGGGUAGGGGAGCUUCCCAUACGGGUUGAAGCAUGACCGUAAGGAAAUGUGGACAGUAUGGGAGUGAGAAUGUUGGCAUGAGUAGCGAGAUGUGGGUGGGAAUCCCACAGGCCGUAAACCCAAGGUUUCCAGGGGAAGGUUCGUCCGCCCUGGGUUAGUCGGGACCUAAGCUGAGGCCGAAAGGCGUAGGUGAUGGACAACAGGUUGAUAUUCCUGUACUACCGAUAACCGUUUGAGAGAAGGGAUGACACAGUAGGAUAAGCUAAGCACACUG
rnacentral:rRNA from 1 species